GAUGAACGCUGGCGGCGUGCCUAAUACAUGCAAGUCGAGCGAAGCGGGGACGGGUGAGUCACACGUGGCUCACCUCCUAUAAGACUGGGAUAACUUCGGGAACCCGGAGCUAAACCUGAUACUUAUUGCUUGUUCCGCGCGGCAUUAGCUAGUUGGUAAGGUAACGGCUUACCAAGGCAACGAGGCAUAGCCGACCUGCGAGGGUGAUCGGCCACACGGGAACUGAGACACGGUCCAGAUGCCUACGGGAGGCAGCAGUAGGGAAUCUUACGCAAUGGGCGAAAGUAUGACGGAGCAACGCCGCGUGAGUGAUGAAGGGCUUGGGAGCGGAAAAAUCUGUUAUUAGGGAAGCGGUACCUAAUCAGAAAGCAACGGCUAACUACGUGCCAGCAGCCGCGGUAAUUC
rnacentral:rRNA from 1 species